rnacentral:lncRNA from 1 species
GAGGGUUACAUUACUUUGUAUAAUAGUUUCUACAGGAUUAUUUCAUUGUUGUUUUUCUCUUACUAAUCAAACUGCUCUGUUUCCUUACAGAUGCAUUAUGUUCAAGAUAAGCUAUUUGUGGGCCUAGAACAUGCUGUGCCCACUUUUAAUGUUAAGGAGAAAGUGGAAGGUCCAGGCUGCUCUUAUUUGCAACACAUUCAGAUCGAAACUGGUGCCAAAGUCUUCCUACGAGGCAAAGGCUCCGGCUGCAUUGAGCCAGCCUCAGGCCGAGAAGCUUUUGAACCCAUGUAUAUUUAUAUCAGGUAUGGAUAAAACAGGAUAUACAAGUCCUUGUCAGUAAUUACAGGCUGAAAUAGUUCAUUGAAA